rnacentral:rRNA from 1 species
AUUGAACGCUGGCGGCGGGCCUAACACAUGCAAGUCGAGCGGAUGAAGGGAGCUUGCUCCUGGAUUCAGCGGCGGACGGGUGAGUAAUGCCUAGGAAUCUGCCUGGUAGUGGGGGAUAACGUCCGGAAACGGGCGCUAAUACCGCAUACGUCCUGAGGGAGAAAGUGGGGGAUCUUCGGACCUCACGCUAUCAGAUGAGCCUAGGUCGGAUUAGCUAGUUGGUGGGGUAAAGGCCUACCAAGGCGACGAUCCGUAACUGGUCUGAGAGGAUGAUCAGUCACACUGGAACUGAGACACGGUCCAGACUCCUACGGGAGGCAGCAGUGGGGAAUAUUGGACAAUGGGCGAAAGCCUGAUCCAGCCAUGCCGCGUGUGUGAAGAAGGUCUUCGGAUUGUAAAGCACUUUAAGUUGGGAGGAAGGGCAGUAAGUUAAUACCUUGCUGUUUUGACGUUACCGACAGAAUAAGCACCGGCUAACUUCGUG